rnacentral:rRNA from 1 species
GAUGAACGCUAGCGGCAGGCCUAAUACAUGCAAGUCGAACGGGAUCCAGAUCAAAGCUUGCUUUGGUUUGGUGAGAGUGGCGCACGGGUGCGUAACGCGUGAGCAACCUACCCUUGUCAGGGGGAUAGCCCGGCGAAAGUCGGAUUAAUACCGCAUGACAUCAUUGAGAGGCAUCUUUCGAUGAUCAAAGAUUUAUCGGACAAGGAUGGGCUCGCGUGACAUUAGCUAGUUGGUAAGGUAACGGCUUACCAAGGCUACGAUGUCUAGGGGCUCUGAGAGGAGAAUCCCCCACACUGGUACUGAGACACGGACCAGACUCCUACGGGAGGCAGCAGUAAGGAAUAUUGGUCAAUGGACGGAGGUCUGAACCAGCCAUGCCGCGUGCAGGAAGACGGCCCUAUGGGUUGUAAACUGCUUUUAUACGGGAACAAACGUCGGUACGUGUACCGGUCUGAGUGUACCGUAAGAAUAAGGAUCGGCUAACUCCGUG